CCUACGGCGUGCUGCAGUGGGGAAUAUUGGACAAUGGGCGAAAGCCUGAUCCAGCCAUGCCGCGUGUGUGAAGAAGGCCUUCGGGUUGUAAAGCACUUUCAGUGGGGAAGAAAGCCUUGGGGCUAAUACCCUCGAGGAAGGACAUCACCCACAGAAGAAGCACCGGCUAACUCCGUGCCAGCAGCCGCGGUAAUACGGAGGGUGCGAGCGUUAAUCGGAAUUACUGGGCGUAAAGCGCGCGUAGGCGGUCUGAUAAGCCGGUUGUGAAAGCCCCGGGCUCAACCUGGGAACGGCAUCCGGAACUGUCAGGCUAGAGUGCAGGAGAGGAAGGUAGAAUUCCCGGUGUAGCGGUGAAAUGCGUAGAGAUCGGGAGGAAUACCAGUUGCGAAGGCGGCCUUCUGGACUGACACUGACGCUGAGGUGCGAAAGCGUGGGUAGCAUACAGGAUUAGAUACCCCGGUAGUC
rnacentral:rRNA from 1 species